UUUCCUUCCCCCCGUCGCCAUUGUGCUCGCCCUCUCUCCUCUCGUCCUCUCACCCUCUCUCCUCUCACCCUCUCAUCCUCUCACCCUCUCAUCCUCUCACCCUCUCAUCCUCUCUCAUCUCAUCCUCUCGCCCUCUCAUCCUCUCACCCUCUCACCCUCUCAUCCUCUCACCCUCUCAUCCUCUCCCAUCUCAUCCUCUCAUCCUCUUGCCCUCUCAUCCUCUCACCCUCUCAUCCUCUCUCCUCUCAUCAUCUCAUCCUCUCACCCUCUCUCCUCACACCCUCUCAUCCUCUCUCAUCUCAUCCUCUCGCCCUCUCAUCCUCUUACCCUCUCACCCUCUCUCCUCUCUCCUCUCACCCUCUCACCCUCUCUCCUCUCACCCUCUCUCCUCUCACCCUCUCUCCUCUCACCCUCUCACCUCUCUCCUCUCACCCUCUCAUCCUCUCACCCUCUCAUCCUCUCUCCUCUCAUCCUCUCACCUCUCAUCAUCUCACCCUCUCUCCUCUCAUCAUCUCACCCUCUCCUCUCAUCCUCUCAUCCUCUUACCCUCUCACCCUCACACCCUCUCUCUUCUCAUCCUCUCAUCCUCUCACCCUCUCUCCUCUCACCCUCUCACUCUCUCCCUCUCAUCCUCUCACCCUCUCACCCUCUCAUCCUCUCUCAUCUCAUCCUCUCACCCUCUCUCCUCUCACCCUCUCACCCUCUCAUCCUCUCUCCUCUCACCCUCUCACUCUCUCUCCUCUCAUCCUCUCUCCUAUCAUCAUCUCACCCUCUCACCCUGUCAUCCUCUCACCCUCUCUCCUCUCACCCUGUCAUCCUCUCACCCUCUCAUCCUCUCACCCUCUCUCCUAUCAUCAUCUCACCCUCUCACCCUGUCAUCCUCACACCCUCUCUCCUCUCACCCUCUCACCCUCUCUCCUCUCACCCUGUCAUCCUCUCAUCCUCUCACCCUCUCUGCUCCAGGGGGGUUCAGGCUCUGGGCUCUGGAAAUCGCAUCAAGACAAUUGUAUUGUUUGGGUGCUAUAUAAAUAUAAUUAAAUUGAAUUGUGUGUGU
rnacentral:lncRNA from 1 species